UGUUCAAAUCGCGACAUACCGAGGAAGUGUAACGGGGUUGAUUUGGCCUCUGUUUUUUACUUUUAUCACUCGAAGAGCUUUUAUCCGUGACUUAUUUAUGUAAAAUAAUUAUAAAGAAAUAUCAUUUGAUAGUUUAAACAUAAAUUAGACGGCAAAACAUACGCCUGGACCAGUGAUUUUAGUUUUAAGUGACGUGAUUUGAUACUAAUGGCGGUGCGUGACAGUACUGUGUAUAUGUGAAAAAUCGGAAUAUUAAAUUGUGGAUUUAACUGUGAUGCCUGGCAUUGCUGGGUGCGCGUGUGUGAGGGUGUCUGCUGCGGGGGUUGCGGGCGGGGGUGCGGUGGUGCGAUGAGGGCGGCGAUGCGGCGCCGCACAUGAGCCGGCUGCUGUGCUGCCUGCGCGCGCGCCGACACGACAUGGGCGCCGCGCUCUACCCCGCGCAGCCGCAGGAGGGCGAGGCGUGCGACGGCGCCGCGGAGCACGUCGCCCCGCCCACCAUGGCGGACGUCAUACGGU